rnacentral:misc_RNA from 1 species
GAUGAAGAACGCAGCGAAAUGCGAUAAGUAGUGUGAAUUGCAGAAUUCAGUGAAUCAUCGAAUCUUUGAACGCACAUUGCGCCCCUUGGUAUUCCAUGGGGCAUGCCUGUUCGAGCGUCAUUUGUACCCUCAAGCUAAGCUUGGUGUUGGGUGUUUGUCCACUCCCUCGUGUUUGGACUCGCCUUAAAACAAUUGGCAGCCAGUGUUUUGGUAUUGAAGCGCAGCACAAUUUGCGAUUCUAGCCUAGAAUACUAGCAUCCAUCAAGUCAUUUUUAACACUUGACCUCGGAUCAGGUAGGGAUACCCGCUGAACUUAAGCAUAUCAAUAAGCGGAGGA